UUGUUAACUAAUUGAGUCUUGCUGGGAUUUUAAAUAUUAAAGGACCUUCUUUCUUGAUAUCUUUGGGCGACGGGCCGUCUUUCACUAUCAUUGGGGACUUGUACACAAUCCUGGCCUGUCCUAGGCUUACCUCAUCCAUUACAAUUUGAGAUGGACUUUGAUGUACACUAAUGAGUGACAGAUCAUCUUCUACCAAAAUAGGACAGCUUAUAUUCAUUAUAUCUUUUUAAUUGGACAACAUUACUGUAUAUACUGAGAUAUUUAGCUGUUGUUUAAUUACUGUGUGGUGUGCAAA